GCUCUCCCUACGCUUUCCUCCGGCUUCUCCCGCUCUCUCCUCCCGCUCCGCCUUUCCUUCCGCACCUCCCGCGGCCGGGCCCGCCUGGCCCCCGCGCGGUCUCGGGGCGGACGAGCCCUCCUGGGACCCUCCCUCCUGGCCGGCAGGUCAAGCCUUUCACCAACCCCUACGGAACUCAGGCCGAGUCCCUACAUCCGGCCCCACAACCCUUCCUCCCGCUGACCUGAGCAGAGACCCUGAAGGGACAGCAGGAAAACUGGACCCACCCGGCUGGGCGCAGGGCUUCGUCCCCCGCCAGGCUCUCGGCCGAGCGCAGGCGUCGUCUUUGUCCUAUUUCCGAUUAGAAUGGACUGUUGACACCAGCAGGCAUUCGAUAAAUACACAUCAACAACAGAAAAUACACGAGUAUUAGCAGCACAGGGCUAAAUAGAUGGGGAAGUAGAGAUGCUCCGUCUUCCGAAUUAAGCAGGAGCCCAUGUCUUGUAUGUUGUGCAGAUUGGCCUGGAACUCCUGACCUCAAACCAUCCUCUUGCCUCAGCCUCCCAAAGUGCUGGGAUUACAGGUGUAAACCGCCUUAGCAAGCAAGGAAGCAAUACGUUUAACCUUCUGCUCAAAUAAAAGUGAGAGAGCACAAAGAAGGAAAGAUUUCCACAUGAGUAAUUAUUUCAACCCACGAUGUCACAUCCCCAGUCUUCUGCCACAGCUGCCCUGCCUUGCUCCCGCUAUGGACUUGCUGAACCCUGGACCCUGCAGCUUCCUCACUGUCUGGCUGGCAGCUCCGUCCUUGGCCUGUGGCUACCUGCCAGCCUUCAUCACCCUCUUUCAGCUUCCUAAUUCAAAGUCCUCCUGUCCUGCUAUCAUCCAGGUUAUAGUAGAAAGUUUAUGUGAUGCUGCUCAGGUUUUUAAAUAUGGAUGACUACGGUAUAUAUUAUAUAGCUUCUCUUACAUGUAUGAUAAACAGGGUGUCCAUAAGGUUCGUGGGCAAUUUACAAUGUAAAACUAUUUUCCUUAUUUAUAAUAU